AACGAACGCUGGCGGCAUGCCUAACACAUGCAAGUCGAACGAAGGCUUCGGCCUUAGUGGCGCACGGGUGCGUAACGCGUGGGAAUCUGCCCUUUGGUUCGGAAUAACAGCUGGAAACGGCUGCUAAUACCGGAUGAUGGCGAAAGUCCAAAGAUUUAUCGCCAGAGGAUGAGCCCGCGUUGGAUUAGGUAGUUGGUGGGGUAAAGGCCUACCAAGCCGACGAUCCAUAGCCGGUCUGAGAGGAUGAUCAGCCACACUGGGACUGAGACACGGCCCAGACUCCUACGGGAGGCAGCAGUGGGGAAUAUUGGACAAUGGGCGCAAGCCUGAUCCAGCAAUGCCGCGUGGGUGAUGAAGGCCCUAGGGUUGUAAAGCUCUUUUACCCGGGAAGAUAAUGACUGUACCGGGAGAAUAAGCCCCGGCUAACUCCGUG
rnacentral:rRNA from 1 species